rnacentral:rRNA from 1 species
GAUGAACGCUGGCGGCGUGCCUAAUACAUGCAAGUCGAGCGAACGGACGAGAAGCUUGCUUCUCUGAUGUUAGCGGCGGACGGGUGAGUAACACGUGGAUAACCUACCUAUAAGACUGGGAUAACUUCGGGAAACCGGAGCUAAUAACGGAUAAUAUUUUGAACCGCAUGGUUCAAAAGUGAAAGACGGUCUUGCUGUCACUUAUAGAUGGAUCCGCGCUGCAUUAGCUAGUUGGUAAGGUAACGGCUUACCAAGGCAACGAUGCAUAGCCGACCUGAGAGGGUGAUCGGCCACACUGGAACUGAGACACGGUCCAGACUCCUACGGGAGGCAGCAGUAGGGAAUCUUCCGCAAUGGGCGAAAGCCUGACGGAGCAACGCCGCGUGAGUGAUGAAGGUCUUCGGAUCGUAAAACUCUGUUAUUAGGGAAGAACAUAUGUGUAAGUAACUGUGCACAUCUUGACGGUACCUAAUCAGAAAGCCACGGCUAACUACGUG